rnacentral:SRP_RNA from 1 species
GUUUGGUCCUCUUGCGACACUAGUUUAUGAACCCCGUCAGGUCCGGAAGGAAGCAGCGGUAAUAGAUGAUGUGUGUGCCGAGAUGUAGGCUAAGCCAG